CUGGAGGAGGUAGAGAGAGGACGGUAGUAUGGUCUCAUCAAUCUGACCCCUUAGCUUGGAAUCAAAGCUUUUUUUCUUUUCCCCACUGUGGGUAAAGGCGACUAUGUAGCAAAGCCUGGCUUUCAUCUUCCUGCUUAAACCUCCAGAGUGCUGGGAUUACACUGCUGCUCCACAGCAACCUAGCUAGGCUGCUUUCUUGGCCCUCUUUCCUCCGGGAUUCUGGCCUUUUUCCCAUCCCCAGGCCCUUACCGGCUCCUGGUCCAGGUGGCCUGAGAUCUUGGACUCCUGUUCUAAAGGCCUCUGUGGCUCAGCAUUUAUGACUGGAGCUAUGUGGGAGGGAGGGACAGAACUGAAGGGUGAAGAGAAAAUGACCAACUUUGUCUGCUCCUCGCAAGGACUCAGACUCAAGAACUCAGGGUUAGGGAUUGUGCGGGUAGGAUAGGGAAAUUGAGUGCAGUUAAUCUCACCAAAUGUGGGUAGUGGUCCAGGCGGGGGCGGGGGUGGGGGCGGAGGCGAGAGUCUGUAAGGAAGUCCUUGAAGAGUCACCAAUCUCGUCUUACUGGUUCCUCGGCCGCAGGCGGCGCCAAUAAGAACUGUGCAAACUGCAGUCUCCGACCAGCAAAACAACUUAGGCUCCUCUGGAACCAGGUCCCGCCCACUCUCUGGGCUUUCUGACCUUUCAGUUUGGUUUCUGCAGCCUCGGUUCCCUACUCCAGCCUGUAGCCUAGCACCCAAGGGCUGACCUCUCACAUUCUUUUAACAAACGCCAGGCCUCCAGACACUUCUUUUUCUUUGUAAAGGUUAGGGCUCUGCCCCACCUCUUUCCCCACGCCCUGACUGGUCACACCCUGUUUCAAGCCAGGCUCCGCCUCCAGUGCUCACCUGCGCCGCCGCCAGACCACGCCCGCGACUCCCAGUCCCAGCACAAGCCCAACGCCCAGGAGCGGAAUCAGGACCUUGGGAUACUCGUACCCUAGGGAGACCGCGAGGCAGGGAGAGAUGCCGUGGUCAGGGGUACAGACAAUAGGGUUCUACUAACUUUACCGCUCUGUAAGAUUCCGCCCCGCUUUUUGUCCCGCGUGUGUGUCCAAAUUAAGUGCCCCUGUGCAUCUGGGCCUCGACCUACCGUGGGUAGAUCCUGCAGGCCGGCAACCUGCCUU